rnacentral:rRNA from 1 species
UGAGUCCGAGGAACUAAGGUUCAAAGUGAUGCGAGUCAUACUUCCCAGAAAAGCCCGAACCACGUUAAUUUCUAAUUACCUGUACCCGAAACCGACACAGGUGGGUAGGUAGAGUAUACUAAGGGGCGCGAGAUAACUCUCUCUAAGGAACUCGGCAAAAUGACUCCGUAACUUCGGGAGAAGGAGUGCCUUAUUUAUAAGGUUGCAAUAACAAGAUCCAAGCAACUGUUUAUCAAAAACACAGGUCUCCGCUAAGUCGUAAGACGAUGUAUGGGGGCUGACGCCUGCCCAGUGCCAGAAGGUUAAAGAAGUUGGUUAGUGUAUGCGAAGCUGAUGACUGAAGCCCUGGUGAACGGCGGCCGUAACAAUAACGGUCCUAAGGUAGCGAAAUUCCCUGUCGGGUAAGUUCCGACCCGCACGAAAGGCGUAAUGAUUUGGAUACUGUCUCGGAGAGAGGCUCGGUGAAAUAGACUUGUCUGUGAAGAUGCGGACUACCUGCACCAGGACAGAAAGACCCUAUGAAGCUUUACUGUAACUUGAAAUUGGAAUUGGACUUUGCUUGCGCAGUAUAGGUGGGAAGCGUUGAAGAUAUUCUUGCGGGAGUAUUGGAGCUAUCAGUGAGAUACCACUCUUGUAAUGUUAGAUUUCUAACUUUGAACCAUAAUCUGGUCAAAGAACAGUUUCAGGUGGGCAGUUUGACUGGGGCGGUCGCCUCCCAAAUGGUAACGGAGGCGUACAAAGGUUUCCUCUGAACGGAUAGAAAUCGUAUCUAGAGUGUAAAGGCAUAAGGAAGCUUGACUGUGAGACCUACAAGUCGAGCAGGGACGAAAGUCGGUCUUAGUGAUCUGACGGUACUGAGUGGAAAGGCCGUCACUCAACGGGUAAAAGUUACUCUAGGAUAACAGGCUGAUCUCCCCCAAGAGUUCACAUCGACGGGGAGGUUUGGCACCUCGAUGUCGGCUCAUCGCAUCCUGGGGCGGUAGUACGUCCCAAGGGUUGGGCUGUUCGCCCAUGAAAGCGGUACGCGAGCUGGGUUCAGAACGUCGUGAGACAGUUCGGUCCAUAUCCGGUGUAGGCGUUAGAAUAUUGAGAGGAGCCUUCUUUAGUACGAGAGGACCGAGAAGGACACACCGCUGGUGUACCAGUUAUCGUGCCAACGGUAAACGCUGGGUAGCUAUGUGUGGAGUGGAUAACCGCUGAAAGCAUCUAAGUGGGAAGCCCACCUCAAGAUGAG